GCGGUCAUGGCGGAAUGGCAGACGCGUCAGCUUGAGGGGCUGAUGGGGGCAACCCCGUGGAAGUUCGAGUCUUCUUGGCCGCA
rnacentral:tRNA from 1 species